CUCCCUGAGGCCGAGAAACCACAGGUACCGUUUAGAAGCCCGACCCAGGCUCAGGCACUGCAGUGGUACCCACCCACCUCCUGCCUCUAUGGUUGAAGCGAAGCUUUGGAGGCUGCCAUGGGCCGAACCGUGUCCCCACCAUGCCCUCCCCUGCAAACUCCUACGUUGCUCUCCUAGCCCCCAGCACCUCAGAACGCGACUGCAUUUAGAGAUAAGCCUUCAAAGGGGUGACCAAGUCAAAAUGAACCCUUUAGGGUGGUCCCUAACUGCGUCUGACUGGUGUCCUUAUAAGAAGAGGAGAUUAGGAAAGGCCGGGGGAGACACAUGGAGAAGACAAGACGGCCGUCUCAAGCCAAGGACAAGCCUCGAGAGAAGGCAAGCCUGCCGACACCUUGAUCUUGGACUUGCGGCCUCCAGAACCAGGAGAAAAUAAAUUUCUGUUGUUUGAGCUACUCAGUUUGUGGUAUUUUGUGCUGGCAGCUCUGAAAACUGGUACAGAGACUAAGGAAAUUUCUGUAAGCGAUGAAAUAAAUGUUAGUACGAAGGAGAUCAAGGCAGCAUUCAGUUGCCAAAGUGAAAACAGGCAAACGUGGUAAAUGGAAGACAAAGUGAAUUCUAAUGACAAAAGGACACUGGACCCGACAGACCUUGUGAAUGAACAGCCCAAUCCUAACACUUAAUCUCGCUUUCUUUUGUAGUAUUUUUUUUCCAGCUUCUACCUGUAAUACCAAAAAAAUCAUUUUCCCGUACAGUAUCUCAUACCAAUACUUUUUCAAAAUUAGCCUUCCAUCGUAAGUGUACUUAAAGAAGUCAGGAUCCUUAAGUCAGCCGGACCAAUUGUUUAAUCCCCACUCCUCAAAUGGUCCCGGCCUUCAGUACAGGAAGAGGCGGAGUCCGCCAGGCUGCAGGAAAGAGCACAUCUCAACAGCCGGCGAGGGAAGCAGGCUGCCCGCUAUUCCUACGGGGCUCUGUAAGAGAGCCGACCAUGGAGGAUGGCUUUUACUAUGGUGACAUGUCUCAGGGUAGUUCAGAUGCUGAACUGUCCAUCUUUGAUACUGAGAAUAGCUUUAAGGGAAAAAGAGGUCAUUUUAAUAACAUUUUCCCCCAGUGCUAAACUGGGAUAUCGAAACAUGCUCAUCUAGCAGUUUUAGCAGGACUUAUCCACAUCUGGGUGUUUUGCCUAUUUUGUGGCUGCCUUAUUCUGUAGGGACAUGAGCUCCUCUAGUGAGGAGCUGUACCUCAUGUGGAAUAUUUUCACGCGUAGAAUACAUACAAUAUCUGGCACACGGGGAACUCCAUUCAUUCCCACCAUUGCCUUUCCAUAGCCAUAGAUUUUACCACUAGUGGUCACUGGAAAGAUCCUAAAAGGUAACUAGGCAGCUUAGGGGAAACGCCUUUGACUUGACUGGAAACAGAACCUUCUUUUGAAAAUUCACAAAAUUCUCAAAUCCGUGUUUUUCAAAUUGUGGGUCACCACCCAUUUGGGAUCAAUAAAUUGAUUUUGGGGGAGCUACCAGUAUUUUAAAAUAUAAAUUACCAAUAUAACAGAGUAAAAUAGAAAAAAUCAGAGUGCGCUGUACUUGGCAAAAGUCAGUGUGGUUUUGUGAAACUUUUGCUGUAUAUAUGGAGUGGGUUUCUGUCUAUUUCUUACUGUGGGUCAUAAUCAGUGACCUCUGAACUCCUUUGCCCUUAACUAACCUUUCUUCUUCUAAGGACACAGUGACUGAAUGGCCCUGCCUGGAUUUAAACCCCUGAAAAGAGACACGAUUAUUUCUGUCUUGGAAGAGCCCUUGUUUUUGAAAGGGAAAGAUCCAAGCCAACCUUAUAACUGUUAAGGUCUCUUGAAAGUUGUUUACAUGGUGAAUUAAUUUUGCUCAAGUCUACUUCUGAAACAUCAUCUUCAAAUAUUUGUGUAAUGGGAAUGUUCUAACUGGAACACUUCAUUGGCCUCUCAUUGCUUGAAGCCAAGGGGCUGAUUUGCAUCGCUUUCUUUAAUUGGGGUUCUGGUCUCCAUAAAUUAUGUGGCUUCAGCAUUGCUCUGGCUUCUGUAACUAGCCAAGCUCACUUGGAUAAAUUUCUGAAGAAAUACCCGUGUUUACUUCUACAUGGGCGUCGGGGAAAGUUCUGGGGUCCUGGCCGGAGGAUUAAUAUCCAGGAUAAAGGAAGCAGCAGCUGGACCUGCAAGGCUGGGUAGGAAUACCUCUUUCACCUCCUUCCUGGAGAAGCCCCAGUUGCGUAAAAGGUCAGAACGUGCCCACAGAAGAUAAAUAAACCUUUCUAGGGCCCACGCUAAUGCACUGCAGAUUUUCUUCUUCCUUGUUCUUAUAUGGUCUCCUAACUCUGAAGAACUGUCUCAAUGAUACAGACAAAGGCCAGGCACGCUCCAGCCUGCCUGGGGAAUUUGACUUGAUAAGAGGAAUAAAAAGAAGGAUAUCUGAAGUCUGUCUUUUUACGUACAAGUAAAUCUACCAACAAAAUACGGCUAGCAACCGACAAGUCUGAUGGAAGAAAGAAAGAGACCAAACCCUAAGAUUAAACCCGGUGCUGGUCUGUUGCUAGGCUGAAGAAAGCAAACACCCAUUGGCUGGUGAUCUUUAAAGGCAAGCAACUUCAUAUUCCAUCCUCCCUCCUUUCGACAAGCGUGUCGUGAGUACUUCCUACGGGUCAAGAGCUGGCACUAAAGCUCUGAGAGAUACAAAGACGACUAAGACAGAGUCCUGUCCUCAAAUGGCACACAGCCCAGUGGGGAAGCCAGCUCAGGAGACGGAGCUGGGGGGGUGGGCAGGAGGUGACAUCUGGAGUCGGUAGGAAUUGGCAGAGACUAAAAGUUGGUGAAGGAGCAAGGGAGGGAGAAGAACACAGUACAGCAGGGAUGAGAAAAGGGACGGGGGUUAGCGACAGGAGACAGAAGCCCAGGCGCUCCAGGAACCAGGACAAUCUUUAACGACAGAGCGAGCCUGUAUGUGUGAGCAAAGGAAGUACAGCCAGCCCGGGACCGCAGUCUCCCGCCCACUGGGACUUCCAAAAGGGCAAAUUAUUUGUUUCUGAGCACUGCUUGUGAUGGAGCAUUUGCAGCAGGGUGAGUUUCCUGAUUCUGGUUCACAUAUAGCUUAAGAUGCUAGAUAUAUCUGGCAAGAAGCAGCCAGAAAAGACACGAUGCUUCCGAAAGCUUCGUCUUUUUCAAACCUCCUUUCUCUUUAUAAGAGCAAAGCAAAGCAAACCCCCAACCACAAAGGUCCCCUCUAGUUUCUUUAGAAAAUUCCUAUACAAAUAUGACUACAGUUUUGCUUUUAAGAUAGUGAAGGAUCUUUUUGCCCCGCCUCCCUUUUUCCCUUUAAUUCAUCCCCAAACAAAAAGAGAACAAGAAAGAGAAAAACGGCGUCUCUGAUGUAAUCAGGAGACACCUGGCGGCCAGAGGCAGACGUGGUCUGGGCCCAGAGGAGGAACGCGAGCCAAGCGGCCGCCAGAGAGGAGUCAGCAGUGGAUGUCUGGUCCCCACGUCUUGGGACGGGGCACUCCCGGGCUGAGGCCGGUGCUGCAGGCAGGACUGGACCUGGAACCCGCCUGGCAGGCGCCCAGGUUAACGCCGGAGAAAUGGAAGGAGAGAAGACCCAGGCCCGGUGGACGGGGUGCAGGGGGGCGGAGGACCGGGAGCAAGGAGAGUUGAGGCACAUCUGACCCGGGCCACAGCCUGGCUGAACCCGAGGACACCAAGCUGAGUGAGAUGAGCCCGGCCCAAAAGGACACAUACUGCACGAUUCCACUUACAGGAGUGCCGAGAGCGGGGAAAUUCCUAGAGACAGAAGGAAGAACAGAGGUGACCAGGGGCUGGCGGGGGCAGGGAGAAUGGGAACUGAGUGUCUAAUGACCCUAGUGACCACAGGAUCAGUUGGGGAAGAUGAAAAAGUUCUGGAAAUGAAUCGUGGUGAUGGUUGCACAGCACUGUGAAUGUACUUAAUGCCACUAAACCAUACACUUAACAGUGGUUACGAUGGUAAAUGUUAUUCUAUGUUUCUUUUACCACAAUAAGAAAACCCACCACAACAGCAAAGAAAGACACUGAUGUCCGCUCCCCAGGGCACCUCCGGAACGCUGACGGCCAGGCGGUACUCCCGCCGGCAGGGCCUGGGAGAGCCUCUUCAGAAGGAACUAAAUAGUCCCAGAGAACAGACCUGAAGAUACCGCCGGGUGAGGGUGCUGACAGCGAGCCCGGUGGCCCAGAGGCCCUGGUUCCCACAAGGCGUCUCACCGAAGCAAGGCGGAGAAGGUAAGCCUCAGAGGAGGACAGGAUGACAGGGACAGAAGCGUAGACAGGGGGCUCUGAGGGUCACCCCAGGAGGUCUGCUGUCCUACCAGCGAGUGAUUUGGAAAGAGGCGAGGAGCGAAUUUUCAAAGAAGCAAAUAUACAAAAACUUCCCCAAAUCUAUGGCUGCGAGUUUCCAAAUCAAAAGAGCAAAACAGGUGCCCAGCAUGACAUAAAAAUGACAGAAGUGUCACACCAAGGCACAUGGCCAUAAAUGUCAGGGACAGAGAAGGAUCUUGAAUUCUUCCGUAGAGGAAACGGGAUCCUAGGGAGAAGGUAGGGACAGAAGCCAUCAGCCUUCAGGUCAGCCACUGGAGAAGCUGAAGUCAGUGGAAGAAGUUGCUUAAAAUUCUAGGUGAGAACGUUUGGUGGACUAGCGUUCAAAACAUACACAAAUUUGGUAAUUGUACUUAUUUAGCUAUUUAAGUAUAUUUAGGACACGAGUCUCUCAAGAAGAAGUCCCAUUUGGAGCGGAGUCUAUCUUCCAGGUACGAACUAGAAGGAUGUUAUCUUUGAUGCCUCCAAUUUUCACGAGACAAUCUCCAAAGUCGAGUACGCAACAAUCGUGAUCUGUUUACUCAUUCGGUGUCCCCACCCACGAGGAGAGAGCGCUUCAGGACAGCACCUCCUCAUAGCUUUCGGUCCAGGGGCCACACGUUUAAAUUCAUAACAAUAAAGUAUGGUUGUAAUGGACUAACAGUAAACGAAGACAAAGGAGUUUUGAGAUUUGCCCCGAAUACAACGAGUAGGUGCAAAGCCCUUUCCUAAAAAGCAGGUUACGGAAAAGCCCUUUUCUGCGUUACAUCCUAUGUGCACAGAAGUUCGUGGUGCCAGCUGCGCCACUUCAAAGCGUCUAUUCAACGAGUAGGACUGCAAAUGGGAAACGACACUCUCAUGCUCCAGUAGCACUUACUUCGUAUUUGACGACUAGAAUUUUGAUAAGUUUACUAACAACAUUGUACAUUUUAUUCUCACAUUCCCAGAGUUUGUUUUAUGUGGGUGCUAUCCGUUUUGGCAUCCAGUCACUCUGUGUAUUGGGUACAGCUCUAGUUAUAUACGCCUUGAUAUUCCUGGGAUGUCUCCGACAGAUGCACCAGAAAUUGAGAACAGUGGCUGCCUUGGGGGCAGGGGUUGUGUGGCUGCAGACAGACGCACCUGUCACCUUACACCUCUCUGUACCUCUUGGACUUAGAACCAUGUGACCAUAUUCUUAUUUAAUAAGAACUAAAAUGGAGGAAAAUCUUUACUUAGGAAAUGACAGUCUGUGUAUAAUAUUUCGAAGUAUGAGCAGCAAAUGUUAGGAUAAAUAGCCAAGAUUCCUGAAAGCCAAUGCCGCUCAGGAGCCGACAAGAGGGAGGCCCCGGGGGCAAGUUUCCAUCAGAAGCCUUUUGCACUACCUGAUUUUUGAAUGUAUUUUUUAGACAAGAAGUAAAAUAUUUAAUAAAAACAUGCCUGUAAAAAGUUAGCCACUUCAGGAAUUUAUUAAGAAAAAAAUAAUGUAACCUGUUACUUCAUUGUUCAAGGAGAGUAACAUUUUGAUAUAUUACACCUUUUAGUCUUUUUUUCUUCCUCUGUUCAUUUUAUAGGAGACUUUCUUAUUUCUUUUCUGUCGUUAUUCCCCAUUUCUUUCUCUUAGUGCCUUUUUAUUUUGCAAAGCUAGGCAUAUAGCUUCUAAACCACACAAAAAAGACACAUAGCCAGCACUUUUCCGGGUAAAGAAAAUAUUCUCCGAUAACUUAAUUGUCAGUGGGCCUGUCGUAAGCAGUUUUAUAACAGUGAUGGGACUGGCAUGUACUGUCUAUGUUCACCAGUUUCCAUGCUCUCUAUGAAUCGAGUCCUCUGCUAAUUAAGUUAGUAGGAUUGUCCGCUCUGUUCACCUGUCCUAAUGCUAGAGGCUCUCAUAACAUACAACGCUUGUGACUGGCGAACCUCAUCAACCCAGAACUCCCGAAAGGAUGACACAUCCCUGGUCCUAUCAGAGGACAAGAGACUGCGGAAUAGACCAACUGAUGCUCUCUGGUUGGUCCUAUCAGGUUUGUGUGUGUGAUUCUCACUGCUUUUCUGCUGGUUAUUUUAUGAUUUUUAUGGUUUUUAUGGUUCUUCACCCCAAGUAUUUUCUAAUCAUGGGCAUUGAGCACAGCAGGCCAGAGUAAGGAGGCCAGGAUGCCGCAGCAGCUCUGCCAGGAGCUCGUGAUGCAGUUCUGGGCAAGAGUCCCCUUCUCAGAGCCUCAGGGCCUCGUCCGCACAUCACUGUGGAGCAUGCAGUACAUACCACACAACAUGUGUGAGGCUGCAUGUUUAUCUGAUCAGAUGUCAUAUAUAUAUAUAUAUAUAUAUAUAUAUAUAUAUAUAUAUACUGUGAGUGUAUACUCUUUCUCUAUAGGUUAUACGUUACAGAUAUAUAAUGUCAGAUAUCCAGGCUGAUCAAGAAAUACUGCCGCCAUUUUGCAGCCGCGCUAUUCAUGAACUUCAGUGUCUAGAACAGAGCGGCCGUCAGAAUACGAAAUGUGGGCACCAGAGGGGUUUCACGGUACAGUCAGCCCACUGCGCAGGCACCGCUGAAGGCCUUCCCCUCCGCUGGCCCCCCAGGCCCCAGCUUCUCUAUGGCUCAACCCCAGAGAGCAGUGAGGAUGAUCAGGAGAGCCAAGACCAUGCGACUGCUCUGUCCCAAAGCUUCCGGUCUCCUAGAGUCAGAGCCGGGGCCCCUGCGUGGCCUCUGAGGCUCUCGCAUCCGCUCCAGCCCAGCUCCGCACCUCCUGCCUCUGCUUGGGACCCCGUGGGACCCCAGGCCCUUCUGUCAAGUCACCGAGUUCCCUGCUGCAGCCGGGAUCACCGUUCAGACCCUGCAACCCUACCCCACCCCCAUUCCGACGCCACUGUACCCCCUCGGUGGCGCCCCUCCCUCCUACGCACUGGCCCUAUUACCAGUGAUGAUUAUUAGUGAUUGUUAUCAGUCUCUCCGUACUCAAGUAUUAGCUCUCAAGGGCAAAAGCUGGGACUGCUCCAUCCGGGCACCUCGUGAGUGCCUGGCACCCUCAGAUAUUUUCUGAACGAGGGAAUGACUUAAACAUUAAAGAUUUAAUUUAAAAUUGGCCGUAUCCAUUAAUUUUGUUAAAAGCCAAACCUUAACAAGAAUGUGACAGCUCGGGGGAAAAUCCCUCUCCUUGCACAUCCCAGCAUGGAUCCUGGAAAAAGGGAGAGCUGGAAGAAUCUGGCUCCGAGGAGGUUAGGAACCCGGAAAUACUGAACGACGUCCCCACGUCCGCAAAAUCACAACUAGCACUCUUGAAACAUGAGAACAUGACACCGAAUGGAAAGGCAUCUAUUCUUAGCCUGUACACCUGUCCCUCGACAUCAGCCUUCUAGAGCGCGUAUCCUUCGUGUUUAAAUGUUCUCUAAUGACCCAGAGCAUGUUUAUAUGGAAUAUAAGUAUCUCUUGUGGAUAAAUCUCUUGAAGCCUGUACCAACGGGGAUUUUAGAUGCUACUCCAAGCUUUCAUUUGAUAGGACCAAACAUUACUACUCUUCUAGGAACUGCGUAGGAUGAUGAUCUGCCCAGAGUGAGAUGACGAUGAAACUAGGUUUCUCACGAGAAGCUGGUGAGGCUCAGGUCGACUUAGCCGCCGGGUCACAUUGGGAGGCGAGCCUGGCCCCGGGGAUCUCGCAGGGUCACCUCGAGGGAAGCAGGGACUCCGGCACUUCUGCACCCUGGAAAGGCAAGGGCUUUCCACCAACUACCAUAGAAUUUUAAAAAUACAUUUGCCUUCACGAUGUCUUUGCUUUAGACUUUUCUGUGGAGUCCAGACCUAGCGCACAGGGCAGAGCCAGGAAGGGCAGGGCUGUGGUUGGGGCGGAGCCAGGGGCGGGGCCUAUGCGUGGGGCGUGGCUGGGUGGAGCCUGGGGUCCAGCAUGGCCUUGGGGGGGUUUGACUUCCGGUUCUGCUGUUUCCAGCCAGGUACGACCCCGGCAGGACACUUACUGUUUCUGUGCCUUCUUGGCACUUCCAUCCAUGAAAUGAGUAAACAGCAGAACCUCCCCGGUUGCCGUCAGGGUUAAGUGGGUGGGUCUGCAUGCUUGGCAAAGAGGAAAUACCAGUGAGGGUAGAUAUCAUUACUUUUGCCCUGAGGUGACCUACUGUUUCCUUCUAGAACCUGAGCUCUCUGCAUUAGGCCACCUGUUUCUCGUGAGAACAGUUAUUUCUGUGAGACUCUAGGCUUGUCAAAUUCUACAAAACCGAUGUAAUAAAUUCUGACUCAUGCACUUUGAGGCCACAUCUCCUGGGUUUGAGUCCUGGCUCUAGCACUUACUAUGGGGCCUCAGAAGCUUCUGAACCUCUCCUUUUUUCUCGUCUAUAAGGUGGAAACAAUAAUACUACUUAUCACAUAGGGUUAUUGUAAAGAUAAAUGAGAUGAUGUAUGGAAAGCACUUAGAAUAGCCGCUGCCACGCUGCAAAUGCUCACUACCUUUUAGCUACUUCUCCUCAGACUAUUUUCCUUGACCUGCCAUUUUGCUGAAGAUAAUUAAGGCCAAGGAUAAAUUAUAAUCCACCUAAGAGAAUGCAAACUUGAGGCAGCAGAACUACCGAAUGUCAAGAAAGUGCUUGGCUCUUUCAGAAGAGAGAGAGCACUGCAAAAAAACUCACUCAACUUUCACGAGUGAGACCAUCAGAAUCCUCAGAUCAUAAGCAACACAGAAGAAUCUCCAACAGAAAAGAUCAGUGCAGCCCCAGACAGGGCUGGCCCCAGAAUGACAGGCCAGGAACUCGAAGAUUUACUCUGUGUGUUUUUUGGUUUACAUAUAUAAUAUGGAAGGUGGGAAAA